rnacentral:rRNA from 1 species
GAUGAACGCUGGCGGCGUGCCUAACACAUGCAAGUCGAGCGAUGAAGCUCCUUCGGGAGUGGAUUAGCGGCGGACGGGUGAGUAACACGUGGGUAACCUGCCUCAUAGAGGGGAAUAGCCUUUCGAAAGGAAGAUUAAUACCGCAUAAGAUUGUAAUAUCGCAUGAUAUAGCAAUUAAAGGAGUAAUCCGCUAUGAGAUGGACCCGCGUCGCAUUAGCUAGUUGGUGAGGUAACGGCUCACCAAGGCGACGAUGCGUAGCCGACCUGAGAGGGUGAUCGGCCACAUUGGGACUGAGACACGGCCCAGACU